UAUAAAGCCAAAAGCCCCGUGAACUGACUCAUCACUCUCACCUUCUCGAGCUGCGUUAUCUUCUCAAAUCUAUAACUCUUUCCUAAUUCAUUUGCCAAAUUACAACAAAUUCGUAUUCAACAACUUUUUGAUUCAUGGCGUCGCUUCAAGCUACGGCUUUGACCUCUGCCGUUUGCAAAAACGGCAAUGUUUCUUCUCCGAUUAAGUUCCCGACUACCUCCUUCUUGCCGGCGUUUGAUGUAGUCGUGGCUGGCCGUGGACUUAACAAGGACUUAUCUUCUCGCUACUUGACCAGAGCUACCUUAACAUUUGAUCCUCCGACGACAAAUUCUGAUAAAAUCACGCAGCAACAGAGGAAACAUACUGUUGAUCCUUCUUCUCCUGAUUUCCUUCCUCUUCCUUCUUUUGAACAGUGUUUCCCUAAGAGCACCAAAGAAUUUAGGGAAGUUGUUCACGAAGAAUCUGGUCAUGUGCUUAAAGUUCCUUUCAGAAGAGUGCACUUGUCUGGGGGUGAACCUAGUUUUGAUAAUUAUGAUACUAGUGGUCCUCAAAAUAUCAGUCCACGUAUUGGACUUCCUAAACUGCGUAAAGACUGGGUUGACAGGCGGGAGAAGCUAGGGGCACCAAGAUACACACAAAUGUAUUAUGCGAAGCAGGGAAUAAUCACUGAGGAGAUGCUUUAUUGUGCUGCACGUGAGAAGCUUGACCCAGAGUUUGUGAGGUCAGAGGUUGCUCGUGGACGGGCAAUAAUCCCUUCCAACAAGAAGCACCUAGAGUUAGAGCCAAUGAUAGUUGGAAGAAACUUUUUGGUUAAAGUUAAUGCAAAUAUUGGAAAUUCUGCUGUUGUAAGCUCUAUUGAGGAGGAAGUUUAUAAGGUUCAAUGGGCAACCAUGUGGGGUGCUGACACUGUUAUGGACCUUUCGACAGGUCGCCACAUUCAUGAGACCCGUGAAUGGAUCUUAAGAAACUCUGCUGUACCAGUAGGAACUGUGCCCAUCUAUCAAGCACUUGAAAAAGUUAAUGGAAUUGCUGAAAAUCUUAGCUGGGAAGUCUUCAGAGACACAUUGAUUGAACAAGCAGAGCAGGGUGUAGAUUAUUUCACAAUCCAUGCUGGUGUUUUGCUGCGAUAUAUCCCUUUAACUGCAAAGCGCAUGACAGGAAUUGUUUCUCGCGGGGGAUCAAUUCAUGCAAAAUGGUGCCUAGCCUAUCACAAGGAGAAUUUUGCCUAUGAACACUGGGAUGACAUACUUGAUAUCUGUAAUCAAUACGAUGUGGCCCUCUCAAUUGGUGAUGGACUGAGGCCUGGGUCCAUAUAUGAUGCCAAUGAUACUGCUCAGUUUGCAGAGCUCUUGACCCAAGGGGAACUGACCCGUAGAGCGUGGGAAAAGGAUGUGCAGGUGAUGAAUGAAGGUCCUGGCCAUAUUCCAAUGCACAAAAUUCCUGAGAACAUGCAAAAACAGCUAGAGUGGUGCAAUGAAGCACCUUUCUAUACUCUUGGGCCCCUGACAACUGAUGUUGCUCCUGGCUAUGAUCACAUUACCUCUGCCAUUGGUGCUGCCAAUAUUGGGGCUCUUGGCACUGCACUUCUGUGUUAUGUCACACCAAAGGAACAUCUUGGUUUACCAAACAGGGAUGAUGUGAAGGCUGGAGUUAUUGCAUACAAAAUAGCUGCACACGCAGCUGAUUUAGCCAAGGGUCAUCCUCAUGCUCAAGCCUGGGAUGAUGCUUUAAGCAAGGCCAGAUUUGAGUUUAGAUGGAUGGACCAAUUUGCUUUAUCCUUGGACCCCAUGACUGCGAUGUCAUUCCAUGACGAAACCUUGCCAUCAGAAGGAGCAAAAGUAGCACACUUUUGUUCUAUGUGUGGGCCAAAAUUCUGCUCUAUGAAGAUAACAGAAGAUGUAAGAAAGUAUGCGGAGGAGCAUGGUUAUGGUAAUGCAGAGGAAGCUGUGCAGCAUGGAAUGGAUGCCAUGAGUGCCGAGUUCCUGGCUGCAAAGAAAACCAUUAGUGGAGAACAACAUGGUGAAGUUGGUGGAGAAAUUUACCUGCCAGUUAGUUAUACUAAAUCCACCGAGAGGGGUGUAUGAGUACAAAGAUAUGGUUGAAGAUCCUCAGAACUCCAGCAAUUUGCUGCAUUGUGAAGAAAGGAACAUGAAUCUUUUCUUUCAAGAUAUAGGGGUGCCUGUGUCUGCUUUAGUACUGGCCAUUUGGCUAAAGGAUGGAGCAGUUCAGGCUGAGAAAGUCCCUUUGAACCUGAACAGGAUAAUGCCUGCGUAGGGAGUGUGCAUUUUCUUUUCCCUCUUUUGUGUUCUUGCACAGGGAGAUAGCUUCCUAUGGCUUGGACUAGCUGAUCCGUGUAUGCAGAUUCCCCAUCGUGCCCGGGCUUUAUCGCUUCAGUGGCUUCAAUAUAAUCAUGGUUUGCACUUCUCUAAAAAGCACAGAAAAUUUGCUAAUUCUUGAUCAACCAUUUUCUGAAUUUUAUUUACUCUGUAAGGACAUCAUUCAAACUAGUUAGAUAGUCUAUUAAAUAAAAUGGUGGAUCACAUUUAAUAACAAGUAGUUAUAAAAGUGAAUGUCUUAAGACAAUUAAUUACCAUUUCAAAAAGCAUGACAUGGCUUAUGUGAAAGGAGAAAAGUUUGACACUCAUGCUAUGUCUAGUUUGCCGGAAUGGAACGUACUCUAAUGUAAUAAAAAAGCACUUUUAGCGGGGAAAAAAAAAUGUCUAUGCUUACAUAAUCUCA